rnacentral:rRNA from 1 species
GGGGGGGGGGGGGGGGGGGGGGGGGGGGGGGGGGGCGGGGGGGGGGGGCGGGGGGGGGGGGGCGCGGGUGCGUGGGGCGGGGGGACCGGCCCUGGGGUGCGGCAUACCGCCCGGAAAGGGGUGCGAAUAGCGGAGGAGGUCGUCGGACCAAAGCUUUAUCGCCUUUGGAUGGGCCCGCGUUGGAUUAGCUAGUUGGUAGGGUAAAAGCCUACCAAGGCGACGAUACAUAGCUGGUCUGCGAGGAUGAUCAGCCACACUGGGACUGAGACACGGCCCAGACUCCUACGGGAGGCAGCAGUGGGGAAUAUUGGACAAUGGGCGAAAGCCUGAUCCAGCAAUGCCGCGUGAGUGAUGAAGGCCUUAGGGUUGUAAAGCUCUUUUACCCGGGAUGAUAAUGACAGUACCGGGAGAAUAAGCUCCGGCCAACUCCGUG